UUUCUCUGUUUUGCUACUUUACGUACUUUUACUGGCCUGUUGCUGCUUUUGCAAGGUUUGGAUAAAUAUUUCGAAGACGAAGAGUGCAGUGAAGUAAGUUUGAAGUAAGUUAGUACAGUUUACAAGAGAGCAGUCGCCAUGGGUUUGGAAGGUCGCACACUUAUGAAGCAUGCUGGGACUUCCGCCAGAUACAGAAAUGUGAUCCAGUACACGCUGCAUUCCAAUGAGCUCAAGAUGCUUCGCCGACCCAAGGGUUUCUUCCCAGCUCUAUGGAAGAGAGCGGCGUGGCCCACUGCAAUGGCAACCCUUUCCACGGUUGCUUUUUUCACAUUCCGCCACGUGACGGAUACCGACUACCGCCGACGUCAGAGGAAGGCCUUCACUGAACUCGAACAUGAAUAACAUGUCACAAAUGCCAGGUUUUCUGUCUAGUUUUCAAUUCAAUACAAGUCCAUAGCCCCGCAUUCUUCCUGGAGAUCUUUUAGAACAAUGACAUUUUAGCAAA